UACAGGGGGUGCAAACGUUGCUCGGAAUCAUUGGGCGUAAAGCGCGUGUAGGCGGCCGUGCAAGUCGGGUGUGAAAGCCCUCGGCUCAACCGAGGAAGUGCGCCCGAAACUGCAUGGCUUGAGUACCGGAGAGGAUGGCGGAAUUCCCCAAGUAGAGGUGAAAUUCGUAGAUAUGGGGAGGAACACCGGUGGCGAAGGCGGCCAUCUGGACGGAUACUGACGCUGAGACGCGAAAGCGUGGGGAGCAAACAGGG
rnacentral:rRNA from 1 species